GAUGAACGCUGGCGGCGUGCUUAACACAUGCAAGUCGAACGAUGAAGCCCAGCUUGCUGGGUGGAUUAGUGGCGAACGGGUGAGUAACACGUGAGUAACCUGCCCUUAACUCUGGGAUAAGCCUGGGAAACUGUGUCUAAUACCGGAUAUGAGCGUCCACCGCAUGGUGGGUGUUGGAAAGAUUUAUCGGUUUUGGAUGGACUCGCGGCCUAUCAGCUUGUUGGUGAGGUAAUGGCUCACCAAGGCGACGACGGGUAGCCGGCCUGAGAGGGUGACCGGCCACACUGGGACUGAGACACGGCCCAGACUCCUACGGGAGGCAGCAGUGGGGAAUAUUGCACAAUGGGCGCAAGCCUGAUGCAGCGACGCCGCGUGAGGGAUGACGGCCUUCGGGUUGUAAACCUCUUUCAGUAGGGAAGAAGCGAAAGUGACGGUACCUGCAGAAGAAGCACCGGCUAACUACGUG
rnacentral:rRNA from 1 species